rnacentral:rRNA from 1 species
ACCCGUUGAUCCUGCGGGAGAUUGCGGCUAUUAGGAUUCGACUUAGACAUGCAAGUCUUCCAGCAAUGGGGGCAAAAUGCUCAGUAACACGUCGGUAAUCUGCCCUUAGGUCGGGAAUAACCUCGGGAAACUGAGAUUAAAACCUGAUAAGAGGAAAGGUCUGGAAUGAUCUUCCUCCCAAACUUGUGCCUAAGGAUGAGCCGGCGGCUGAUUAGGCAGUUGGUGGGGUAAUGGCCUACCAAACCUAUGAUCAGUACGGGCCAUGAGAGUGGUAGCCCGGAGAAGGACACUGAGAUACUGGUCCUAGCCCUACGGGGUGCAGCAGUCGCGAAACCUUUACAAUGCACGCAAGUGUGAUAAGGGGAUCCUAAGUGCUCAUGCUUAGCAUGGGCUUUUUUUCAAGGCUAAAUACCUUGGAGAAUAAGUGGUGGGUAAGACUGGUGCCAGCCGCCGCGGUAACACCAGCGCCACGAGUCGCAGUCGCGAUUAUUGGGCCUAAAGCGUCCGUAGCCGGACUAGUAAAUCUUUUGUGAAAUCGUCAAGCUCAACUUGACGGCGUGCAGAAGACACUACUAGUCUUGAGACCGGGAGGAGUCAGAAGUAUUCUUGGGGGAACGGUAAAAUGUUAUAAUCCCAGGAGGACUACCGAUGGCGAAGGCAUCUGACCAGAACGGAUCUGACGGUGAGGGACGAAAGCUAGGGGAGCGAACCGGAUUAGAUACCCGAGUAGUCCUAGCCGUAAACGCUGUGAGCUAGGUGUUGCAUAUUCUUCGAGAAUGUGCAGUGUCGAAACGAAGGUGUUAAGCUCACCGCCUGGGAAGUACGGUCGCAAGACUGAAACUUUAAGGAAUUGGCGGGGGAGCACCACAAGGGGUGCGGCGUGCGGUUUAAUCUAAUUCAACGCAGAGAACCUUACUAGCGGCGACGGCAGAAUGAAAGUCAUGCUGAAGACAUUACUUGACAAGCCGAGAGGUAGUGCAUGGCCAUCGUCAGCUCGUGCUGUAAAGUGUCCUCUUAAGUGAGGCAACGAGCGAGACCUGUACCUACAAUUGCUAACAACCUCAUGAGGGAUUGAGCACAUUGUAGGAACUGCCCUGGAAACAGGGAGGAAGGUGCAGGCUACGGUAGGUCUGUAUGCUCCGAAUCCGCUAGGCUACACGCGCGCAACAAUGACAGAGACAAUGGGCUGCAACUCCGAAAGGAGAAGCUAAUCCUCUAAACUCUGCCUUAGUUUAGAUUGAGGUUUGCAACUUAGCCUCAUGACACUGGAAUCCCUAGUAAUUGGAGCUCAUCAUACUCCAGUGAAUAUGUCCCUGCUCCUUGCACACACCGCCCGUCAAGCCAACCGAGCAGGGUUUAGGUAAAAUUCAACUUAUUGGUUGAAUUGAAUCUAAGCUCAGUGAGGUGGGCUAAGUCGUCACAAGGUA